rnacentral:rRNA from 1 species
UACGUAGGGGGGCAAGCGUUGUCCGGAAUCAUUGGGCGUAAAGAGCGUGUAGGCGGCCCGGUAAGUCCGUUGUGAAAGUCCAGGGCUCAACCCUGGAAUGCCGAUGGAUACUGCCGGGCUAGAGUUCGGAAGAGGCGAGUGGAAUUCCUGGUGUAGCGGUGGAAUGCGCAGAUAUCAGGAGGAACACCUAUAGCGAAGGCAGCUCGCUGGGACGACACUGACGCUGAGACGCGAAAGCGUGGGGAGCGAACAGG